AAUGGGAUGAGUUUAAUUUUGGCUCAGAAAGAAGGCGUGAAUUUGGUCUUAUACAUGUAAAUUUAAAUUUUAGUAUGAAAAUUGGUGUGCGGGUGCGUAGUAUAUUAUGGUAAAUUAUCUUAUGAGUAAUUAAAUUAAUUGAAGAUAAAUAAAUAAAUAGGUGAUUAGGUAUUAAGUUUUUAGCCAAAGAUCAUUAACUGGUUUUUUAGGAUGUAUGGUCACAUUUGCAAUUAAAGAAGGGCAAGACUCUUUUAGGAGAGGCAGCAGUAUAGAAUCUUGAACAAUGAAUGAAAAUUUGAUUCAGUUAAAUUUGUGUGUGUAAUAUGGGAUAUUCUCAAUAAAUCAUAAGAAGUUUAUUUAUAGUGAAAAUAAAUUAAGAAAGGGCUGACAAAGAUCAGUGCCAGAAGUCUCGGUUAUACUGACAGCCUGAGUCUAUUUCAGUAUUACUAGGUGUAAAGGAUGUGUAAAUCAGUUAAAAUUAUAUAACACAAUUUUAAAUUAGAAUUUUAAGAGUGAAUAUAAUUUUAUCUUUGAGUAUUUAAAGAAUUAAUAGAAUAUUAAAAGAAGUGAUAGAAUAUUAUAAUAUUUAGUAGAAUUUCACAAGCGAAGGCAAUUAAUUGUUAAAUAACUGACUUUGAGAACAUGAAAGAUAAGGUAGCGAUAUGGAUUAGAUACCCAUGUAGUCUUAUCUGUAAACAAUGACUAAGAAAUAUAUAGUAGAUUUUUAAGAUAACUUAUUAUUAGUUCACCUGAAGAGUAAGAUCGCAAGGUUUAAAUUCAAGAAAUUAGGCUGUAUAUUGUCCUACUAGUGGAUUAUGUGGAUUAAUUAGACAAUACACUCAAAAUCUUACUUAUAUUUGUAUUUAGAGCAAAAACAGGUGUUGCAUGGCUGACUUCAAUUAGUGUCGUGAGAUGUUUGAUUAAUUUCAAUAACUAAUGAGAUUCUAGGUUUUAUUUAGGUGUAUAGAAUUACUGAGAGUUAUAAACUCUAGGAAGAUUAGAAUAAAGUCAAGUCCUUAUAACCCUUAUAUAUAAGGCCUCACAUGUAAUACAGUGAUUAAUAGAAAAGAAAACGGUUAAGUAAUUAACUGUAAAAGAUGUAUUUAGUCUAGGUAUGGAUAAGUUUCUGUAACUCGGAAUUUUGAAGAAGGAAUUAGUAGUAAUUUAGAAUUAUCAAGUCUAGGUGAAAAUGGCUCCAAUGUAAGUACUUAUUGCCCGUCAAGUCAGGAAAGGGGACCUUCAUAUAAGUAUAAAUAAAUAAAGUAUAAAAGUUAUUAACUUUAUUGUAAGUAUAAAAUUGAAAAGAACAAUUCUGAUUAAGUCGUAACAAAGUUGUCUUAUGGGAACAUGAGGCAGGAUGAUUAUGGUA
rnacentral:rRNA from 1 species